GUACAUCCAGAGAACUUAGCAGGGAUGCUUUGGUGCCUUCGGGAACUCUGAGACAGGUGCUGCAUGGCUGUCGUCAGCUCGUGUUGUGGAAUGUUGGGUUAAGUCCCGCAACGAGCGCAACCCUUAUCCUUUGUUGCCAGCGGCUCGGCCGGGAACUCAAAGGAGACUGCCGGUGAUAAACCGGAGGAAGGUGGGGAUGACGUCAAGUCAUCAUGGCCCUUACGGCCAGGGCUACACACGUGCUACAAUGGCGCAUACAAAGAGAAGCGACCUCGCGAGAGCAAGCGGACCUCACAAAGUGCGUCGUAGCCCGGAUUGGAGUCUGCAACUCGACUCCAUGAAGUCGGAAUCGCUAGUAAUCGUAGAUCAGAAUGCUACGGUGAAUACGUUCCCGGGCCUUGUACACACCGCCCGUCACACCAUGGGAGUGGGUUGCAAAAGAAGUAGGUAGCUUAACCUUCGGGAGGGCGCUUACCACUUUGUGAUUCAUGACUGGGGUGAAGUCGUAACAAGGUAGGCGUAGCGAG
rnacentral:rRNA from 1 species